rnacentral:rRNA from 1 species
GACGAACGCUGGCGGCGUGCUUAACACAUGCAAGUCGAACGGAAAGGCCCUGCUUUUGUGGGGUGCUCGAGUGGCGAACGGGUGAGUAACACGUGAGUAACCUGCCCUUGACUUUGGGAUAACUUCAGGAAACUGGGGCUAAUACCGGAUAGGAGCUCCUGCUGCAUGGUGGGGGUUGGAAAGUUUCGGCGGUUGGGGAUGGACUCGCGGCUUAUCAGCUUGUUGGUGGGGUAGUGGCUUACCAAGGCUUUGGCGGGUAGCCGGCCUGAGAGGGUGACCGGCCACAUUGGGACGGAGGUACGGCCCAGACUCCGACGGGAGGCAGCGGUGGGGAAUAUUGCACAAUGGGCGGAAGCCUGAGGCAGCAACGCCGCGUGCGGGAUGACGGCCUUCGGGUUGUAAACCGCUUUCGCCUGUGACGAAGCGUGAGUGACGGUAAUGGGUAAAGAAGCACCGGCUAACUACGU